rnacentral:rRNA from 1 species
GACGAACCGUGCGAACGUUGUUCGGAAUCACUGGGCGUAAAGGGCGCGUAGGCGGCCACCGCAAGUCGACUGUGAAAUCUCCGGGCUUAACCCGGAAAGGUCAGCCGAUACUGCGGGGCUAGAGUGCAGAAGGGGCAACUGGAAUUCUCGGUGUAGCGGUGAAAUGCGUAGAUAUCGAGAGGAACACCUGCGGCGAAGGCGGGUUGCUGGGCUGACACUGACGCUGAGGCGCGAAAGCUAGGGGAGCGAACGGG